rnacentral:rRNA from 1 species
GAUGAACGCUGGCGGCGUGCUUAACACAUGCAAGUCGAACGGUGAAGCAGGAGCUUGCUCUUGUGGAUCAGUGGCGAACGGGUGAGUAACACGUGAGCAACCUGCCCCUGACUCUGGGAUAAGCGCUGGAAACGGCGUCUAAUACUGGAUAUGUGAUGUGACCGCAUGGUCUGCAUCUGGAAAGAAUUUCGGUUGGGGAUGGGCUCGCGGCCUAUCAGCUUGUUGGUGAGGUAAUGGCUCACCAAGGCGUCGACGGGUAGCCGGCCUGAGAGGGUGACCGGCCACACUGGGACUGAGACACGGCCCAGACUCCUACGGGAGGCAGCAGUGGGGAAUAUUGCACAAUGGGCGGAAGCCUGAUGCAGCAACGCCGCGUGAGGGAUGACGGCCUUCGGGUUAUAAACCUCUUUUGGCAGGGAAGAAGCGAAAGUGACGGUACCUGCAGAAAAAGCACCGGCUAACUACGUGCCAGCCGCCGCAGUAA